rnacentral:tRNA from 1 species
GAGGUUGUGGCUCAGUGGCAGAGCACUUGCCUAGCAUGUGUGAGGCACUCAGUUUGAUCCUCAGCACCACA